ACCUGCAGGAGUUGUGCAGAGCCCUGUUGAGGUGUGGCUCAGCCCUCCCUGACGGCUGCCUCCCGUACCAGCAGAGCACACACUACAACAGCAUGCUCCAUGCCAACUCUCUCUGCCACUUCCACAUCGCUGCCAGCAUCAACCCUGCCACAGAUAUCCUCCUGCUGCCCUCCAUCACGUCACUGUGGGUGGGAUGACGAGGAGCCUGGCGGGCCCUUCACCGUGCACUGGCUCAACAACCAGGAGCUGUACCUCACCCUAACCAUGGAGGUGUUCCUGCAGCAGCUCAGGGGCAGCAUGGAGCAGCACAACUAAAAAAACAAAACAAAACUCCCAGGAGGGAGGUAGAGGAGGCUGCUAGACGUGCGGCAGAACGAGGACCCAACGUGGCGUCCGUCCAGCUGCCUCCUGCAGCGGUGAAGGACCAGGUGCAGAUUCUACUAGAUAACUGGAACAGAGGGGCAGACAUGCUGUUCAGUAUACACCCCAUGGACGGCUCUGCUGGAGUGGCACGUUGACAUGCUGGAUGAGUAUCACCCCGGCAG